CAGUAGCCGCGGUAAAACGAAGGGGGCUAGCGUUGCUCGGAAUCACUGGGCGUAAAGGGUGCGUAGGCGGGUCUUUAAGUCAGAGGUGAAAGCCUGGAGCCCAACUCCAGAACUGCCUUUGAUACUGGAGAUCUCGAGUUCGGGAGAGGUGAGUGGAACUGCGAGUGUAGAGGUGAAAUUCGUAGAUAUUCGCAAGAACACCAGUGGCGAAGGCGGCUCACUGGCCCGAUACUGACGCUGAGGCACGAAAGCGUGGGGAGCAAACAGGAUUAGAUACCCCCGUAGUCCCUGUCUCUUAUAC
rnacentral:rRNA from 1 species